rnacentral:rRNA from 1 species
CGCAGUUAAACACAGUGCCGCCUAGUUAGUACCAUGGUGGGGGACCACAUGGGAAUCCUGGGUGCUGUGGUUU